GUUCAUGCGUGUGCACGUGCAUACACACAACUGACAGUGUGAUAGAAGUGAAAAAGGGCAAACCCCUCACCCUGAAAUGUGGGAAGAGAACCUGGCCUUUUCCUGCAAUGUCUCUCUCACGCUGUCUUCUGACAAAGUUUAGCAUUGCUCUCACAGUAAAGGAGAAAUGCUGAGAGCACACACAGCCCCUUAUCACAGAGCAGGUACUGAAGGGUGAAUUUGGAUCCAAUAGGCAAACAAUUGAUAUCUGGCACACUGGGUAAAAAUCAUGGUAUUUAUCUGCAAGAGAGAAUUAUAUGAAGUAAUUAAAAAUUAUGUUUUAGAAGACUAUUUAAUGCCCUGAGAAAAUUCUCAUGAUAUACUAAGUGAAAAAGCAGAUUACAAAAGCAAUCAAUACAGUGUAAUCCUAAUUUUUAAAAAAAAGAGCAAGAAAAAGAGUGAAGAUCUGUGUUUAAAAAAAGGUUCCUGAAUGUCUUCUCCUUUUCCCACUGCCUGUUGACCCCCCUUCCCAUCCUUCCCCAUGUUUUGGUGAGAGUGAGAAAGUGAGUCAAAGGUCAGGCAGUGUACUAGAGAACCAAUGAUUUUAAUUCCCUUCCGGUCAUCUGCCUCACCCCUUGCCCAGGAGGAGCUGGGGAAAUGUGCAGGGAAAGUAUUAUGUUACAUAGAAUCUCAGCCGCUUUCCCUCUCCUUUUUGCUUUCAGAAUUCCCCCAGUGAUAUUGGACUGGCCCCUCCUCAGGCCCAGGAGAACUGGAAAGGAUUGGACCCCGGCUUCAGGAAAGGGUGUGAGAAAAGUUGGUUCCCUUUAUCGCGCAGACCAGCAAGGAUCAGUGGUCUCAUGAAGAAAGGUGGUCCGUGGCUGACAGUGCUGGCCACUCGGAAGGAGAGCUUGGCACACACCCCAUCAAGGUGACUACACAGAGGGUGUCUCUCCCGUCACAUUUCCUGAUGCGACAGUGACGUUGCAAAUGUCAGUGGGGGCAGGUCCUCUGACCCGCUAAUGGGCUGCGUCUGAUUCUGCAGGGCUUGCUUGCCUUUCAAGGGUCACUCUGGUGUUUUCUCAGCUGCUGGAGCCUGACCCUCUCUGACAAUUAUUACUUCAUGUCAAAAGACUGCCGGGCGAGCUGUCUGGAUCUGCCAGGAGAGACGGAGCUGCCCCCAUCAAACUCUGGGCUGUGAGGCUCAGGCGGAGGGUGAAAGGUUCUGGAGUUUUCUGUGGAAAGACACCUCGGCCCCGCUCCUGUGCCCCACCACCCCUGUCCUCCCUAGUAACCCCUCACCAGCCUUCAGCUUCCCUCCGAGCUGGAGCAGAGACCUUAGGCGGUGGCACCAUCACGGGGCCAGGGUCUGUGCUGUGAGAAAGUGACAAGAAAGAUGGCCCUGGGCUGCUGGCUGACCAUCUUCAGGAUGGAUGAUCUGAGUCUCCUGGAAUUUGUCCCUAGAGAAAGUGGAGAGGGCUUCUCUCUCCCUGUAAUAACGACCCACUUCAAUCCCCAGGUUUUCUGCAGGUGUAACGCAGGAGGGAGCGAGGCCCGUGUUCACAGCCUCCAUCAUCUCUCACUGGCUCUUGUUUACAAAGUGCCAACCCAGGCUGCAUGCUGCUCUGGGCCUUCCUGGAAGGGGUCAUUCAUCUGGGAGGAAAGUAGGGGUCCCUGAGAAUGAUGAAGGGUGAUGGAGGGCAGCCACCAGGGCCUCCUACCUCUGUGUUUCCCAGAAGAAGGUCACAAGAUGGCAGGGACCAGCCUGGGUCCAGGGAGCACCUCCUCAGGCAGAAGCUGAUGGAACUUUGGGUUCUGACUCCCAAGUUCAAUGGCACCAGCGACAUGUAGCUCUAACUUGUGACUUCUCCUGCCUCUCUCUGUGUGUGCCCAUGGGGGUGGCCUGAGGAAAUGCCACUGCUUCCUGGCAGUACUGAGAGCUGCCCUCUGUUUACAUGGAUGAAUCUAGAAUGAAGAUGGCUAAUCACAACGAUGGCUAAUACUUUGGGAAGGCUUACCUUGUGCCGGAAAGAAGUGCUUGUAAUGGAUUCUUUCAUUUAAAGCAGUCUUUCAACACGUAUCCUGUGUGCCGGCAAGGUUCUAGGCACUGCAAUGCAGCAGUGGAUGAAAGAGAGAAAAUCCCACGGAUGAACAUGUGGUCUGUACACACGAUGGGACAGUAUGCGGCCUUAGAGGAAGGGAAUUUGGCCACGUGCUACAACAUAGAUGAAACUUGAGGACGUUGUGAAGGAAAUAAGCCAGAUACAAAAGGACAAAUACUGCAGGAUUCCACUUACAUGAGAGCCAUAAAAUGGAAUUUUUAAGAUUUUGUUGUUGAGGAAGAGCCCACGGAAUGAUGGUGCUGCUGCAGUGUCCGCUUUGCCCUUGGCAGCCCCAGGGCCCCGUCCAGAGCCCUGAACCCAGUGGGCGCUGAGUGAACGAGGGAGGAGACUCAGAGGAUUCAACAGCUACAAGGAGAAUGAAAUGCAUUACGAGGGGGAUGGAUGCUCGUGGGACAUUCCAUGGAACUCAUCCUACCGGCAGAGCUUGAAAGAUGUGGAGAGAUCGGGCUGGAAGAAAAUAAGGAAAGUGAGAUGGAGGAGAAAACCGCCUGAGGAUAAUGCAAAGGGCACCUGGCAGGACCGGGGGCAUCUCUCUGUCUCCCUGUCUCUAACUUCCUUUGAGUCUUUGUCAUCUUGGUUUCCUGCCCUCCCUGUGCUCCUGCUUGCCUGCUGAGUUGUGAGAAUCAAAGAUCAUCACACAGACGGAGAAAACAGAGAUGCGAGCAGGUGCUGGUGUUGGUGGUUGACCGGUCACAGGGCCAGUGGAUUCUAUCCUCCAUCCCCUUCGGACUCAUCCUAUCCUCACAUCCACCGCCUGCCUCUCCGCAGCCCUGUCUCCUCCUAAAGACUGUCUUCAGGGCACGUCCAGCACAGGUGACUCACGGUCCAUCCACUGGUGCCCGAUGUCAGCUGUCCCUCGUCCUCUGGCGCCGGCGUUUGUGGGAACGGCCUCUAUUUCUAUCCUGCAUGAACUUGGGAGCAGAACUCAGAAAGCAUUCCCUCACGCAAGAGCAGAAGUCUGUUUAGUAGGAUUUCCAGAAGCUCUCCCAAGGGAGGCGGUGUGGGUGUUUAUGUCACAGCAAACUGCUUAAAGAUCCAUUUCAGGUGUUUCGCUUCUCGAAAAUCUUUUUCUAUCUCCCUGUCCCCAGGAAGUGCCCGACCUGGGUGGCGGUCCUCUCCUCUUUCAUGACAAGCGGAGCAGCCCUGCCCAGCCUCCACUCCCAAACUUGCAGAAAACUCUGUACAGACCAUAGUGAAACAAAGAGUGACGGGGUUAACUAGACCUACUUUCAUUUUAAAAGG